CGGGACGGGUGAGUAACGCGUGGGUAACCUGCCUCAUACAGGGGGAUAGCAGCUGGAAACGGCUGGUAAUACCGCAUAAGCGCACAGUACCACAUGGUACAGUGUGAAAAACUCCGGUGGUAUGAGAUGGACCCGCGUCUGAUUAGCUAGUUGGCGGGGUAACGGCCCACCAAGGCGACGAUCAGUAGCCGACCUGAGAGGGUGACCGGCCACAUUGGGACUGAGACACGGCCCAG
rnacentral:rRNA from 1 species